AGUUCUUAAAUAAUCAAGGCCACGCAAAGGGAAAGGGGAGGCAUAUGAAAGUAGCUGCAUAAUCAGAUAGAUAAUGCACUUUUCUCCAAUUGUCUGGCUCUUUUAGACAGCAGCAUCUGGGGGUGUAUUUCGAAGGCGGGGGAUGACUAGCAAGUAUGAGCCAGAUGAGACCUCCGGGGUGACCUGGAAUUACAGAGGCCACUCAUUUUCGGAAUAGGGUUCUGAAAACUGUAAUAUUGUAGAGAUGAAAAGGACCUAUGAAGACCACCUGAUCUGUCAACUUUCUCAAAAGACCACACCUACAUGUAGACAAGUAGGGGACGUGGGUUUGAGCCCUGGUCCGGGAAGAUCUCACAUGCUGCAGAGCAACUAAGCCCGUGUGCCACAACUACUGAGCCCGCGUGCUACAACUACAGAAGCCCGAGCGCCUAUAGCCCAUGCUCCGCAACAAGAGAAGCCACUGCAAUGAGAAGCCCGCGCACCGCAACGAAGAGGAGCCCCCGCUCACCGCAACUAGAGAAAACCUGCAUGCCACAACUAGAGAAAGCCCGCGCGCAGCAGCAAAGACCCAACAC